rnacentral:misc_RNA from 1 species
AUAAUCUAAAAUCACGAAAAGCUCAAGUCCCUGCUAAUGAGCUUUUUCAAAGUUUGCAGACCACAUUAUUAAAAUGGAAUGCUAAUUCCUCCAAUGAUAAUGAGGAAAAGUGCUGUGAAGCUCUUGAUGAUUAUUACAAUAAUGAUGAAGAAAGACCGCUUGUCACAAUAACAGUAAAAAUUCUUCUUCAUAAAUUCAAAACAGAUUUUAUUGAAAGUGCUGUAAAUACAACAUUAGAUUUAUUGAGUGUUACUUACUUUGAUACUCUCAUUUUGGCAUUGCCACCAUUGGAAGAGUCUGAAGAAUCAUUCCAGCAAGUUGUAUUACCAUAUUGGGAGGUAAUGGAAAAGUUAAACAGAAGUGGUGUUGCUAAAAUGAUAUCUUCAUGCGAUUUGGAUCAACAAAAGCUACAGUCACUUAUUGAAAAAGCUUCUAUUCCUCCAAUGAUUAAUCAAGUAAAUCUUACAUCAUGUUGCCACAUGCCACAAGAUUUGGUUGCAUUUGCAAAAGAAAACAAUAUUAUAUUACAUACACAUGGAGAUCAACAAGUAAUGUUAGGAGAAAUAGCUGUUGACAAUUUAAUCAAGUCCGUUGAUCCGACCAAUAAUUUGCUGUGGGAAACAAAUUGGGUUGUUCGAUAUGCAAUCGUCAUCAAGUGUCGAGGAGUCAUUAAAAGCAAAGGAUAUAUUGCUUCUCUAUCUUCGAAGCAUAUAUGAAUAUCAAUAACAUGAAACUUAGUAUACAGUGAUGCACUUUUAAGCACGUUUUUAGAAACGUGAAAUACGAGUGUUUUGAGCCAUUUGAAUAUUUAUUAUGAACUAAGAGACUUACUUUUGAAUAGAAAAGAUAUUUUGGAUUGUAAAUUAGGCACCAGAGAUUACACGGGAAGUACUUUAAUUAGACUAAAAAACUAAUGUGUGAAAUUCGAAAGUUGCAAGUCUUUCAAAAUCUUUUUUUAAUUUUUUACAUUUAAUUUAUUCUGAAACAUGAACUCAGGUGAGUCAUAAUAAACUUUUAAAACGACUGUUGGUGUACCGAUAAUGACUGUUGGUGUAGAACAUUUUUCCGCGUAUAUUAUGUAUAAUGAAACGUAAAUAAUUUGUUUUUUAAUUUUUAUAAUUUUUUAGGCAUGUUUAGGUCCUGUAAAAUGGGUAGUUUUACAUAAAAGCCAUAUAAUAAGAUGAACUUGUAAAUACUUAACACAUUCGUUCCAACUGUUUUGUAAAGUCUUGCCUUUCGCGUUUUAUGUGUUAUGUAAUAUAGUGAUUUUGUCUGAUAC